rnacentral:rRNA from 1 species
GGGGCAGCGGGGGCGUAGCAAUAUGCCUGCCGGCGACCGGCGCACGGGUGAGUAACACGUAUGUAACCUGCCCUAUGCAGGGGGAUAACCCGGAGAAAUCCGGCCUAAUACCGCGUAACACCUUUGGGGAGCAUUCCCUUGGGGUUAAAGGAGAGAUCCGGCAUAGGAUGGACAUGCGUCGCAUUAGGUAGGCGGCGGGGUAACGGCCCACCGUGCCGACGAUGCGUAGGGGUUCUGAGAGGAAGGCCCCCCACACUGGUACUGAGACACGGACCAGACUCCUACGGGAGGCAGCAGUGAGGAAUAUUGGUCAAUGGCCGAGAGGCUGAACCAGCCAAGUCGCGUGAGGGAAGAAUGUCCUAAGGAUUGUAAACCUCUUUUGUCGGGGAGCAAAAAGGCUCUGCGGAGUCGUAUUGAGAGUACCCGAAGAAAAAGCAUCGGCUAACUCCGUGCCAGCAGCCGCGGUAAUACGGAGGAUGCGAGCGUUAUCCGGAUUUAUUGGGUUUAAAGGGUGCGCAGGCGGCGUGUCAAGCAAGCGGUAAAAUAGCGGGGCUCAACCCCGUCGAGCCGUUUGAACUGGCGCGCUUGAGUUCAGGCGAGGUAGGCGGAAUUCGUGGUGUAGCGGUGAAAUGCAUAGAUAUCACGAAGAACUCCGAUUGCGAAGGCAGCUUACCAGUCUGCGACUGACGCUCAGGCACGAAAGUGUGGGUAUCGAACAGGAUUAGAUACCCUGGUAGUCCACACAGUAAACGAUGAGCGCUAGGUGUCCGGGUCGCAUGAGACUUGGGUGCCCGAGCGAAAGCGUUAAGCGCUCCACCUGGGGAGUGCGCCGGCAACGGUGAAACUCAAAGGAAUUGACGGGGGCCCGCACAAGCGGAGGAACAUGUGGUUUAAUUCGAUGAUACGCGAGGAACCUUACCCGGGCUCAAACGACUCAGGAAUAUAUUGGAAACGAUGUAGCCAGCAAUGGUCUGAGUCGAGGUGCUGCAUGGUUGUCGUCAGCUCGUGCCGUGAGGUGUCGGCUUAAGUGCCAUAACGAGCGCAACCCCUACCGCCAGUUGCCAACGGGUAAAGCCGGGAACUCUGGCGGGACUGCCGGCGCAAGCUGCGAGGAAGGCGGGGAUGACGUCAAAUCAGCACGGCCCUUACGUCCGGGGCGACACACGUGUUACAAUGGCAGGUACAGCGGGAAGCCACCUGGUGACAGGGAGCGGAACCCGAAAGCCUGUCUCAGUUCGGAUUGGAGUCUGCAACUCGACUCCAUGAAGCUGGAUUCGCUAGUAAUCGCGCAUCA